CGGUGGGGUGAGACCCAAUGGUCUUUUCAGUGGUGACCUAUCUGAGGGAGGGGAGUGAUCCAGCCCACAGCUCUGAGGCGGGAGUGAAGGGCUCUGCUGUGAGGGGUUGCUGUUUGGUUAUGGUAGUUGCUACUUCUGCCCGGCAGAGCCGUUAGAGCAGCGAGGCGGUCGUUCCUCGUUCCACAGGGGCACGGACGGGGCUGAACGCCUGGCUUGCUGAAUGCUUGUUGGGUGUCUCUGGUGUUUGCAGUCGGUUCGCGGUGUUGAUGCUUCUCCCCGUAGUCCUGAGGCACAUCACCGUGUUCCUCUGGAAACAGGGAAGCGGAGGGCACUUGGUGGUGUUGGGUGCUUAGAAACAAAUCUUUCCAGCUCGAGCAUGAGCGUUAAAUAAUGCGUGGUUUGUGCCACCGCGGAGUGCUUAUGUUAAAAAGGCUGUUGUGUUUCUUGUCUGUAAACCAUUUAUACUGGAAGAGUUCUUGGAAGACUUGGGUUCAUUAUGACCCUUUAGGAGAGAAAGAAUAAGUGAAGUGCAGUGUCAGCUUUUAACACGAUACAGGAAACUGAGAGUGGAGCUCAGCUUCCUUGGUGUACUCAGACAUUGCUUUCUACCUAACAGAAAAGAUGUUGGAGAGAACAAAAGAAGAUGCUGUAAGAAGGAAUGAAAGAAACAAGCAUCUGUGAUUUGUAACAGAUUGGCAUCUUAAAUUGCAGAGAUACUCUUCAGUUAAUGCUACAUCACAGUUACUGCCAUAAUGACCUUCAUCUGGGCCAGGCAGCUAGAGAAUAAAGUUACAGAAAGACUGCAAAAAGGAUUGCAGCAAGAAAACAUGAUGUAGUCCUUCCUCCCUUUGCUGCCAGCCCUGAACUGGGUUCCUUACGUCCAUCAUACUCAUGUCACUUGGAAAGGAUGAGAAAUGGUUGGGAAGAGGCAGUCGUCAAUCCUGAGAAUAUCAGCACUGCAUGAGUGGAGAGGCGAUGCAGGGUCCAUUGCAGCAGUGAUGCACCUCAUCUGCACAGAAGAGGCAGAAGCUUGCUGGCUUCACAAGGGAGGCUCUCCAGCAUGGAACACUCUGGGACACUGCACAGCAAGUUUAAUUCUGAUUCAUGUUUUACAAUCAAAAAUUAUUUAGAAAACCCCAGCUCACCUCCCUCAAAGAGUGGUUAUUUGGGAAACUACACCUUCCAAGGACUUAAGCUCUGAUACCAAUUGGCCUCAACAGAUUCCAGAAAUUAAGAUGCUACUCGUUGGAUGACAUUUCCAUAAGUGGAGAGAACAAACUUUCUUACGCCUCUUGAGACAAGGGUUUUAAUGACACUGGUUAAGACAGAAGAAGAAAACCCAGCAGCAGUGGCAUGACUUUUAUAAGCAGCAGUGGACACUGCUGCUGAGACUUUUUCUCCAUUGAGCCUAAAGACUGGGAUUGAGCAGAGGUUUUAGAAGUCCAGCUUUUACUGUCGGUAACACCUACAGCCACCAAGAAAGGAAAUCUAUUUGAAGCACUUCAGAGUAAGGCUUUGACCAAUGUCAGCGACCACCUGGAAAAUGCAACAGAGGAAAGCUCAUGGAAAAUCAUAAAUAUGGGACAAUAAAUAGGAAGAGUUAUUGCAAUAAUAAGUGGAAUUUGCUUCCUAAUUCCUAUGAUAAAAAGGCUUCUAUACCUCACCACUUAUGAACUCCUCCAGUUUCUUUAUUACCUUUGCUGCUCAGCAGGAUUCUUCAGCUAGUUUGCAGACACCUUGCAGUACCAGACAGUGCAGUGAUCAAGCAGAAAUUGCUUCUCCCCCAAAAUAUAGGCUGGACAAGAGAGCCCCAGUGAGGCUUUCCCAGUAGCCCCAAUAACACAGCUUCCAUAUAACCCAAACUCCCACCAGUUCCAGUUAGAUGUGUGGAGCAGCAGUUCAGGUUGCCUCCACUAGGUAUUUGUCUAAUUCUGUCUCUUACUGCCUCUGCAGAUAAUUUAUCUUUAGUUCACCUCUGUGAACACCAGCAGUCAAGGUACUGUCUGGUCUCUUCAAUCACCCUGUAGUAACUCACUACUAAUGAGUGGCUGGUCAUCGUGCUGCAGAGCAUCAUCAGUCGGGCUGGUAACAGGAAACAGCAAAGCUAAUCAUCAAGUACCUGUUAAUUUCCUGUUAGGUUUUUAAUUGGAAUUUCUCUUCUCUAAUAGAUCUUCUUCCCAGAAAGGCACGUUUGAAUCUUUACCUUAAUCAUACAUAAUUGUGCAGAUUCUUUGUAUGUUAUUUAGGUAUGCUAACCCCAGUAGCGUGGUAUUAAUUCACAAUACAGUCAGUGAAUUUAGACAGGGAUAUCAGAGAAAUGUAACUAAAACAUGACUACAAUAUCACAGCUAUGCAAUUACUACCCCUUUUUUUUCUUUAGAUACUGACCAGGCCAAAAUCACUGUAGGGGGUUCAGUUUGUAAGGCCAAGCUUGUGGUUUCACAUCCUGGAUGAAGCAGCCACCCUUUUCCCUGUGCCCCACUCACUCUUCCCUUCCCAAGCUACUGUCUCAGUGGUGCCACUGCAUCUUAGUGAGGCUGUUGCACAGGAAAAUGAUCCAAGUUCAAAAUAACCAUCUUUGGUUUAUUUUAGUCUGAAUCAAAUCCUUGCCUGGGUUCACUGCACAACCCCGCAUGCAGUUACGCCAGCACAGCUCAGGGAAAGAUGUGGGACUAGAAACAAACAACAUGACUUUGGGCUGCACAGGGCAGAGCUGCUGCCAAAGGAAACAGUGGAGCUGUAUGGAAUAUUUGUUUGGAAACAGUUUUAAAGGGAAGUUUCAGAACACUUGUAGAUGAAAUGUGUUUAGUUGGUGGGAUAAAAGGCUGCAGCCAAAGUUAAGUCUGGCUUCUAAUUAUACAGAGUAAACAGAUACAAAAUUAGGCUCUGUGAAGUCUAAAUAGGUAAUUUCACAGUUAAUAUUUAACUACUGGAUAUUUAGCAAUAUAAAGCAUUAAAUGGUUUUAAAUCCUCAUGGCUGGCAUGCUGCUCACCAAACUGCAGCCUACAAUUGCUGUUCAGGAGUAAAGGGGUUUCCUGGGCAAUGGUGACCAUGAACUGCAGCAUCUCCUCACCCAGUGUGAACACACACCAAAAAUGUCUUUUUGCCUAAAAUGUCCCUUCUCACUUUUUCAUGUUAUUUCCAUUGAUGAUGCCAGGGAUGGGAACCUUGGGAAGCAGAGGUUGUUGAGAACCAUACCCUGUAGAAAUCUGUUGUUUAAUGUUCAGCACACAAGAAUAAUGCCUUUUGUUCAAACCAUAUGUAAUGUUUUUCAUGUGGCAGCUGUUUUCCCUGUAAAUGAUAAAACAUUAAAACCUGAACUAAAAAUAACCCUGUUUGCUGUUCCAGUUCAGGAAAUUUCUAUCAGCCAAGUGUUUGCUGUUGUUUUUUACUGACUGUUAUUCCCA